GCAACCUGCGGCUGGCGCACCAGAACAUCGUGGUCUUCCGCUCGCUGCUGGGCAUCAGCUGGAUGUGGUUCUUCGGUGCGGUGUUCCUGGCCAACUUUCCGGCCUUUGCCAAGAACGUGCUG
rnacentral:ncRNA from 1 species